rnacentral:rRNA from 1 species
CCUACGGGAGGCAGCAGUGAGGAAUAUUGGUCAAUGGUCGGGAGCCUGAACCAGCCAAGCCGCGUGAAGGAGGACGGCACUGAGGGUUGUAAACUUCUUUUGUCAGGGAAUAAAGCUUGGCACGUGUCCACGGCUGAGUGUACUCUAAGAAUAAGCAUCGGCUAACUCCGUGCCAGCAGCCGCGGUAAUACGGAGGAUCCGAGCGUUAUCCGGAUUUAUUGGGUUUAAAGGGAUCGCAGGCGGGUCGUUAAGUUAGCUGUGAAAGGCCCGGGCUCAACCCUGGACCCGCAUUUGAAACUGGCAGCCUAGAGUGCAGGUGAGGUAGGCGGAAUGCGGGGUGUAGCGGUGAAAUGCAUAGAUAUCACGAAGAACUCCGAUUGCGAAGGCAGCUUGCCGGC